UACGAAGGGGGCUAGCGUUGCUCGGAAUCACUGGGCGUAAAGGGCGCGUAGGUGGCGCGGGCAGUCAACGGUGAAAGUUCGGGGCUCAACCCUGAAUCGGCCGUCGAUACUCCCGGGCUGGAGCACUGUAGAGGCUAAUGGAAUUCCGGGUGUAGCGGUGGAAUGCGUAGAGAUCCGGAAGAACACCGGUGGCGAAGGCGGUUAGCUGGGCAGUUGCUGACACUGAGGCGCGACAGCGUGGGGAGCAAACAGG
rnacentral:rRNA from 1 species